rnacentral:rRNA from 1 species
ACGGGAGGCAGCAGCUAAGAAUAUUCCGCAAUGGACGAAAGUCUGACGGAGCGACGCCGCGUGGAUGAUGAAGGUCGAAAGAUUGUAAAAUCCUUUUAGGAGUGAAGAAUAAGCGGUGCAGGGAAUGGCAUCACGGUGACGGUAGCUCCUGAAUAAGCAACGGCUAAUUACGUGCCAGCAGCCGCGGUAACACGUAAGGUGCGAGCGUUGUUCGGAAUUAUUGGGCGUAAAGGGCAUGUAGGCGGUUAUGCAAGCUUGGUGUGAAAUCCCGGAGCUCAACUCCGGAACUGCAUUGAGAACUACAUAACUUGAAUCACUGAAGGGGAACCGGAAUUCCAGGUGUAGGGGUGAAAUCUGUAGAUAUCUGGAAGAACACCAAUGGCGAAGGCAGGUUUCUGGCAGAUGAUUGACGCUGAGGUGCGAAGGUGCGGGGAGCAAACAGGAUUAGAUACCCUGGUA